ensembl:lncRNA
CAUAGGCCCCAAUGAGGGAAAGCCUCACUUUGGCUAACAAUGCUGAGGCAGGCAGGGCAGAGCAGUCCCAGGGUGUGUUGUCACUUGUCUCUCGUGCCUUCUGUGUCUUCUGUGCAUCUCGUGUAAUGUGUCUCUUGCCUUAGUCCUCCCAGGGGCAUAUGAGAAACCCCGGGGUCCUUCCGUUCAUCUCCCAUCUUUGCGUUCCUCGGCCCGGCGCCGGCGAAGCUUCGAUUCGGGAGGUCAGACACGUGUCAGAAUCGCAUCCGUCUUCAGAAGCACGUGAUCUUUUUAGGUCUCGUUCUCAGCUGUGUCGACAGCUAUGUGCAGCAAUGUUUCUUUACAGUGGAUAAGGACUUGUGCCGAUUCAAAGGCAGGCAGAGGCUUCCAGCCACAGGAUUCUCGGGCAUCCGUCUUUGCGGUUCUUGGAAAAAGUUUUUCCGUUAGCAUCUUUUUCCUCCGGGGUCACCGGAGCUCGGCAGGCUCGCCUCGGGUCCCUCCUCAGUCAUCUCGUUCAGCAUUCUCUCGGUCCUCGUGAGGACUUUCUCUCCCUGUCAUGUCCCCUCGUGUCACGGGUGUCUGGGGGUAUUUGGUCCGGAGCUGCUCUGCCCUGGCGCCCAGCCCGGUUGUAGGUGUUUAAGGACAAGUCCCGGGCACUUGUAAUUGGAGAUUUGUAAUACGGGCUGUAGUUGGAGUCUAGCUGGUAUUCUUAUGUUGGCAGCAGGUGUCUGGAGCUGUGAAGUUACCCUGCAGCACUUUGACUUUUUUCCUAACUUUCUUUCAGAUUCAGACAGAUUGACCUCAUGGCAGAGUACUGCAUCCCAGAUGAUGGGGGUCCCCCUGAGAAGGAAGUAAAGCCGGGUAGCAGCGGGGAAGGCGAAGCAGGUGGAAGGCUGCCUCCUGAUGCUGUGCUGUGGCCCCCUCACUGACCUGCCAAGAGACCCCGUUUGCUUCUCUGGUGAGCCCCAGCAAAUAUUACCGGAGUCCGUGACGAAGCCUCGACCUCGUCCACGUGUCGGUGCGGUCCUGGUAUCCUUUAGGCGUGGCCGAGGAGUCGCGGCAAGUCGGGGGCUUUGGAAGGAGCGGCGAGGGCGCGCUCAACUUUCAGCGACGCUACAUCGCCUGCUCUCCGUUUAUCCUAGGCGUACCCUGCGACGACGGCAUCCGCCUAGGAGCGUGGCUGAAGCGUGCGGCCGGAGGACCCGGGAGUUCCUAAGAGAUGGUGAUGAUACUUGUCUGAGACAACAGCCCGGUGAGAGAAGAACUUCCCAGACAGCGAGGUGGCUUUGUUUGGCUCCUGACCGGCCUCUCGCCGUGACUCACAUCUUCAGCCCUCUGAGAGAUAAGUGGAGCCCACAGAGGGGAUCAAAGCAGGGCGGUGGGUCAGGACUGAGAUCGGUUUGGGUUUUUGAGUGAGCUUUGGGGAUGGGGAGGUUCUGGAAAUGACCCCAUAGGCCCCAGUGAGGGAAAGCCUCACUUUGGUUUGCAAUGCUGAGGCAGGCAGGGCAGAGCAGUCCCAGGGUGUGUUGUCACUUGUCUCUCGUGCCUUCUGUGUCUUCUGUGCAUCUUGUGUAACAUCUCUAUUGCCUUAGUCCUCCCAGGGGCUUAUGAGAAACCCCGGGGUCCUUCCGUUCAUCUCCCAUCUUUGCGUUCCUCGGCCCAGCGCCGGCGAAGCUUCGAUGCGGGAGGUCGGACAGGCGUCAGAAUUGCAUCUGUCUUUAGAAGCAUGUGAUCGGAUGUUUUCUUAGGUCUCGUUCUCAGCUGUGUCAACAGCUAUAUGCAGCAGUGUUUCUUUACAGUGGAUAAGGACUUGUGCCGAUUCAAAGGCAGGCAGAGGCUUCUAGCCACAGGAUUCUCGGGCAUCCGUCUUUGCGGUUCUUGGAAAAUAGUUGUUCCAUUAGCAUCUUUUUCCUCCGGGGUCACUGGAGCUCGGCAGGCUCGCCUCGGGUCCCUCCUCGGUCAUCUCGUUCAGCAUUCUCUCGGUCCUCAUGAGGACUUUCUUGUCUCAGAGAUUCUCUCCUUGUCAUGUCCCCUUGUCUCACGUGUCACAGGUGUCUGGGGGUAUUUGGUCCGGAGCUGCUCUGCCCUGGCGCCCAGCCCGGUUGUAGGUGUUUAAGGACAAGUCCCGGGCACUUGUAAUUGGAGAUUUGUAAUAUGGGCUGUAGUUGGAGUCUAGCUGGUAUUCUUAUGUUGGCAGCAGGUGUCUGGAGCUGUGAAGUUACCCUGCAGCACUUUGACUUUUUUCCUAUAUUUCUUUCAGAUGCAGAUAGAUUGACCUCCUGGCAGAACACCUGUCCCAGAUGAGGGGGUCCCCCUGAGAAGGUCGGUCACGGUUUUACUUUGCAGCGGGGCUGGAACUGGUCACUGUGUUACAGCUCUGCUCUUUGUCUUUAUUUCUAGGAAGUAAAGCCGGAUAGCAGCGGGGAAGGCGAAGCAGGUGGAAGGUGAGCCUCGGUUGGUGGAGAGAAGCAGUUGUUCUUGCUGGGGUCUCAGUUUCUGCUAUAACUUUAAUCCCUUGGGUUUUUUUUAUUUUAGGUGGUCUACUUGCAAGAUAUCCCAGCCCAGGAUGCUGGAGGACAGGUGGGUGCAAGCUCUGUGUGUGUUUUGGUGUUUCAGUCCCUGGUUUGCUGCUAAUCUUUAGUUCUUGAAGGUAGAAUGAAAGAACCACAUCACAAAUCCCACCUUGUGGAUCCUGACACACAUUGGUGUCACGGACAGGAUUCUGAGAGACAGAAGGGGUUGCAGGUUUAUCGUGCAGUCAGUAUCAGGGGAAAGACGUUUCGCCUCAGCCGCCCCUAGCCUGCCACGCUGGUGAGCAGUGUCUAGAAAGCAAGGGAGGUGACUCGAAUUUGUUAAAAACAGCACAUGCCUCAGGGCAAAGCACCCCACACUCGUUUGAGGGCUCUGUCUUCAGAACUUUACAGGGGAUCUUUGAGUAUGAUAAGUGGGACUGAGUGGUUUUUCUGUUUAAAGUCCCUGGUUUGCUGCUAAUCUUUAGUUCUCUAAGACAGAAGGAAAGAACCACAUCACAAAUCCCACCUUGUGGAUCCUGACACGAAUCAGUGUCACGGACAGGAUUCUGAGAGACAGAAGGGGUUGCAGGUUUAUCGUGCAGUCAUUAUCAGGGGAAAGACGUUUCGCCUCAGCCGCCCCUAGCCUGCCACGUCGGUGAGCAGUGUCUAGAAAGCAAGGGAGGUGACUCGAAUUUGUUAAAAACAGCACAUGCCUCAGGGCAAAGCACCCCACACUCGUUUGAGGGCUCUGUCUUCAGAACUUUACAGGGGAUCUUUGAGUAUGAUAAGUGGGACUGAGAGGUUUUUCUGUUUAAAGUCCCUGGUUUGCUGCUAAUCUUUAGUUCUCUAAGAUAGAAGGAAAGAACCACAUCACAAAUCCCACCUUGUGGAUCCUGACACGAAUCGGUGUCACGGACAGGAUUCUGAGAGACAGAAGGGGUUGCAGGUUUAUCGUGCAGUCAUUAUCAGGGGAAAGACGUUUCGCCUCAGCCGCCCCUAGCCUGCCACGCUGGUGAGCAGUGUCUAGAAAGCAAGGGAGGUGACUCGAAUUUUUUAAAAACAGCACAUGCCUCAGGGCAAAGCACCCCACACUCGUUUGAGGGCUCUGUCUUCAGAACUUUACAGGGGAUCUUUGAGUACGAGAGGUGGGACUGAGUGGUUUUUCUUCUGUUUCAGUCCCUGGUUGGCUGACAAGCUUUUGUAGUCCAAGAUGGAAUAAAGGAACCACAUUGGGAAUUCCA